rnacentral:misc_RNA from 1 species
GAUGAAGAACGUAGCGAAAUGUGAUACGUAAUGUGAAUUGCAAAUUCAGUGAAUCAUCGAGGCUUUGAACGCACAUUGCGCCCCCUGGUAUUCCGGGGGGCAUGCCUGUCCGAGCGUCAUUGCUGCCCUCAAGCACGGCUUGUGUGUUGGGCCCCGUCCUCCGAUCCCGGGGGACGGGCCCGAAAGGCAGCGGCGGCACCGCGUCCGGUCCUCGAGCGUAUGGGGCUUUGUCACCCGCUCUGUAGGCCCGGCCGGCGCUUGCCGAUCAACCCAAAUUUUUAUCCAGGUUGACCUCGGAUCAGGUAGGGAUACCCGCUGAACUUAAGCAUAUCAAUAAGCGGAGGA